UACGAAGGGGGCUAGCGUUGUUCGGAAUUACUGGGCGUAAAGCGUGCGCAGGCGGCUGCUCAAGUCAGGGGUGAAAGCCCAGAGCUCAACUCUGGAAUUGCCUUUGAGACUGAGUGGCUUGAGUACGGGAGAGGUGAGUGGAAUUCCCAGUGUAGAGGUGAAAUUCGUAGAUAUUGGGAAGAACACCGGUGGCGAAGGCGGCUCACUGGCCCGUAACUGACGCUCAUGCACGACAGCGUGGGGAUCGAACAGG
rnacentral:rRNA from 1 species